CAGGAAGUGAAUGUUUAAAGCCGCUGCUUUGAAUCAAACCCGUGGAUUUCUGUGGGUUUUAGCUGCAUCUACCGGUCACCGCAGAGUUCGUGUUUAAAGUGUGAAUUAGCUCCGGCUAAAGGACAACUUUAUAUAUUAUCAGACGCGGCGUGUGGUUGAUUUUAUCGUCCCGAUUAAGUCGAACAGCUUGUUUUAAAACCUUCAGUACGAUCAGCUGAAUGUGAUUAAAGCUGUCUACAGCUGUUUUAAAUAAACACGUGUUCGAAAACAGUGCUGUUUCAUCAACGUGAACGCAGAUGCUAUAAGCUAGCUUAGCCGAGCGGUUACCAAUGGAGACGGGAGACGCCUAAACAGAUUUAGCUAACGCUAGCUAGUUUGCUAGCUUCCUGCAGAGAUUGAUGAACAUGGCUACCAAACCGAAGGCUAAAACCACGAAGAGUUUAUUCAAAGAUGACGACAUACUCGACAGCUUAUUUGAUGAGGACAAGCAACCAGUUGGUGGAAGAGCAGCUCGUGGCCGUCCACCGACGCACUCUAACAACAUCUUCAGCAUGCUGGCAGACGAGGUGAAGAGGGACGGCCUGGACUCUGGGGUACGUAGGAAACAAGCACAGUUACUGAAGGGGUUAAAUGAUCAUGUGACGCUCUUAUUUUUAUUUAUAUUUCAGGGGUCUGAUGUGUCAGCGGCUGAUCCCAGUGACAUCCUCAGGAACAUUAAGG
rnacentral:lncRNA from 1 species